rnacentral:lncRNA from 1 species
CUUUCCCUUUCUAUUACUUUGGAUGAUCCGUUUGGAUACUCAAAUAUUCCAUUUCUGGAUUCAUUGUGGAGGGGUCAUAUGAUUCAUGAGAUGACCUUUGGGGAAAGUAAUAGCCAACUGGUGUUGCUUUUCAAUUAUUCCAAGUUGAACGGUGCUCUCAAGUUGCAGAUAUCUGUGGGAUACUACUACGGCAUCUUCUUUUAGCCUUUAUGAAUCCUAGUUAUCAUAAACAAUUGCUGCUUACGUGGGUCUUUUUCCUCUUACGGCCAUUCGACCGUUACAUUACAUGAACUUUAGCUUAAGGACAAAAGUGGGUGAGGAGAAGGAGGAAAGAUAAGUUGCAUAUACUCUGUAGCAUAUGCAGAGAAUAUCCUUUUGAGGACGAAUUGACGUG